rnacentral:rRNA from 1 species
UACGUAGGGUGCGAGCGUUGUCCGGAAUUAUUGGGCGUAAAGGGCUCGUAGGCGGUUUGUCGCGUCGGGAGUGAAAACUCAGGGCUUAACCCUGAGCCUGCUCCCGAUACGGGCAGACUAGAGGUAUGCAGGGGAGAACGGAAUUCCUGGUGUAGCGGUGAAAUGCGCAGAUAUCAGGAGGAACACCGGUGGCGAAGGCGAGUCUCUGGACGACACCUGACACUGAGGCACGAAAGCUAGGGGAGCAAACAGG